rnacentral:rRNA from 1 species
CAAGUUGAACGGUACAGUAGUGAUUAUCACUAGCUGACGAGUGGCGCACGUGUGAGUAACGCGUAGGUAAACUACCAUAGGGACCUGGAUAGCCCUACGAAAGUAGGAUUAAUACGGGAUGUGCUUAUAUUUUCAUAAGAUUUUAUAAGUAAAUAGUUUUUCUGCUCUAUGAUGUGCCUGCGUUAGAUUAGUUUGUUGGUGGGGUAAUGGCCUACCAAGGCUGCGAUCUAUAGCCGGGCUGAGAGGCUGACCGGCCACAUUGGGACUGAGACACGGCCCAGACUCCUACGGGAGGCAGCAGCUAAGAAUCUUCCGCAAUAGUCGAUAGACUGACGGAGCGACGCCGCGUGAGUGAUGAAGGCCUUUUAGGUUGUAAAACUCUUUUAUAUUGGAAGAAUAUAUAGUAUUAGACUAUAUUGACUGUACUUUAUGAAUAAGGUCCGGCUAACUACGUGCCAGCAGCCGCGGUAAUACGUAGGGACCGAGCGUUGUUCGGAAUUAUUGGGCGUAAAGGGUAUGUAGGCGGUCUAUUAAGUUAGAUGUGAAAAAUCUGGGCUCAACCGAGAUCUUGCGUCUAAUACUGAUAGGCUAGAGUCUCUGAGAGGAAGGCGGAAUUCCUGGUGUAGGGGUGAAAUCUAUAGAUAUCAGGAAGAACACCGGUUGCGAAGGCGGCCUUCUUGGCAGAGGACUGACGCUGAGGUACAAACGUUAGGGUAGCCAACAGGAUUAGAGACCCUGGUAGUCC